GAUGAAGAACGUAGCGAAAUGCGAUAAGUAAUGUGAAUUGCAGAAUUCAGUGAAUCAUCGAAUCUUUGAACGCACAUUGCGCCCGCCAGCACUCUGGCGGGCAUGCCUGUUCGAGCGUCAUUUCAACCAUCAAGCCCCCAGGGGCUUGUGCUGGGGCCCUGCGGCUGCCCGCAGGCCCUGAAAACCAGUGGCGGGCUCGCUAGUCACACCGAGCGCAGUAGCACAUCUCGCUCAGGGCGUGCGGCGGGCUCCUGCCGUGAAACACCCCACUGUAACCCCAAAGGUUGACCUCGGAUCAGGUAGGAAUACCCGCUGAACUUAAGCAUAUCAAUAAGCGGAGGA
rnacentral:misc_RNA from 1 species